AUAUGAUUUAAGAUAGAAAUCAAGUUGUUAAUUUUUCUAUUCUUAUCCAUUUAAUAUUUGAUAAGUAGAGUAUUUAUCUACAUCAUUUUAACUCAAUUUUUGAGGAGGGGUCCCUAUGAUAGUUUGCUAUCAGGACUCUUGAACGUUGCCUUGGUGUUACACUACAACCUUAACCUGGCGCAGACCAC